rnacentral:rRNA from 1 species
AGCACCUACGGGGCGCAGCAGUGGGGAAUCUUCCGCAAUGGGCGAAAGCCUGACGGAGCAACGCCGCGUGAUCGAAUGAAGGCCUUCGGGUUGUAAAGAUCUGUUGACUGGGACGAAUAAGCAAUGCGAAUAGUUUUGUGUAUGACGGUACCUGUUUAGAAAGCUCCGGCUAACUACGUGCAAGCAGCCGCGGUAAUACGUAGGUGGCAAGCGUUAUCCGGAUUUAUUGGGCGUAAAGGGAACG